GCCGUGGUAGCUCAAUGGCAGAGCACAGCUCUGAAAAAGCUGGGGUUGGUAGUUCGAUUCUACUCCACGGCA
rnacentral:tRNA from 1 species